UACGUAGGGGGCUAGCGUUAUCCGGAAUUACUGGGCGUAAAGAGCUCGUAGGUGGUUUGUCGCGUUGUUCGUGAAAACUCACAGCUCAACUGUGGGCGUGCGGGCGAUACGGGCAGACUUGAGUACUGCAGGGGAGACUGGAAUUCCUGGUGUAGCGGUGGAAUGCGCAGAUAUCAGGAGGAACACCGGUGGCGAAGGCGGGUCUCUGGGCAGUAACUGACGCUGAGGAGCGAAAGCGUGGGGAGCGAACAGG
rnacentral:rRNA from 1 species